rnacentral:lncRNA from 1 species
UCAGCUUGCAGAUGCCUAUUGUGGGACUUCACCUUACAGUCAUACCCGAUGUGAAGCCUGACUGAGCAGAGUGGAGACCAGCAGCUGCACGUCAAGUGGCCUUCCCAGGACUUGACUCCAUAUGCAUGUUCUCGUCCAUGGGCUCAUACCCAGUCCAAAGGACUUUACCCCAGCUCCAUCUUUGCCCAGACACACUUGAGGCUGCAGGGUUUUGGUGACUGUAAAUUGGUCUUGACCCUCUGAGGAAAUGGGGAUGCUGCAGAAGACACUGGCUAAAUUGAUAAAAUGAGAUUUGUAACCACCCUGGGACAGAGCUCCCAGAGGGAGAGACGGGCCACUAUCUUUGCCAUUUAGAUGACUUAGCUGUUCCAGCCUUCAGGCCUCAGAGUAUCUGAGGAACCAGGGGCUGACAUGGACCCCCAGCACAGCACAGCUGCUCUACCAAAACAUGGCCAGACUGUUUCUUUAAGCAGGUCCCUGAUCCCAUUCCUCCUCACUGGGCAGGACCUCCCAAAUGGGGUCUUCAGCCACCUCCUACAGGUGCCUUUGCAUUGGCAACAAGCCUGUACCAUCCUGGGAUGAAGCUUCAGGGAGGGACUGCUGCUAUUUUUG